rnacentral:piRNA from 1 species
UGGUCCUAUGUAAGAGAACUAACUCUCCACA